rnacentral:rRNA from 1 species
CCUACGGGGGGCAGCAGUGAGGAAUAUUGGUCAAUGGACGAGAGUCUGAACCAGCCAAGUAGCGUGAAGGAUGACUGCCCUAUGGGUUGUAAACUUCUUUUAUAUGGGAAUAAAAUGUUCCACGUGUGGGAUUUUGUAUGUACCAUAUGAAUAAGGAUCGGCUAACUCCGUGCCAGCAGCCGCGGUAAUACGGAGGAUGCGAGCGUUAUCCGGAUUUAUUGGGGUUAAAGGGAGCGUAGGUGGAUUGUUAAGUCAGUGGGGAAAGUUUGCGGCUCAACCGUAAAAUUGCAGUUGAAACUGGCAGUCUUGAGUACAGUAGAGGUGGGCGGAAUGCGUGGUGUAGCGGUGAAAUGCUUAGAUAUCACGAAGAACUCCGAUUGCGAAGGCAGCUCACUGGACUGCAACUGACACUGAGGCUCGAAAGUGUGGGUAUCAAACAGGAUUAGAUACCCGGGUAGUC